GAUGAACGCUAGCGGGAGGCUUAACACAUGCAAGUCGAGGGGCAGCACUGAUAGCAAUAUUAGGUGGCGACCGGCGGACGGGUGAGUAACGCGUAUGCAACCUACCCUUUACAGGGGGAGUAGCCCGGAGAAAUUCGGAUUAAUACCCCAUAGAUCAGUGAUUCUGCAUGGGAUUACUGGUAAAGCUUCGGCGGUAAAGGAUGGGCAUGCGUCCCAUUAGCUAGUUGGUAGGGUAACGGCCUACCAAGGCAACGAUGGGUACGGGGUCUUAAAGGAUGGACCCGCACACUGGCACUGAGACACGGGCCAGACUCCUACGGGAGGCAGCAGUGAGGAAUAUUGGUCAAUGGGGGGAACCCUGAACCAGCCAUCCCGCGUGCAGGAAGACAGUUCUAUGGAUUGUAAACUGCUUUUCUUGGGAAGAAUAAUGACGACGUGUCGUCAGAUGACGGUACCCGAGGAAUAAGCAUCGGCUAACUCCGUG
rnacentral:rRNA from 1 species